GUUUUAAGUUACUGCUAUGGAAAUAGCUUAACUUGGCCAUGCCCAUAUCAUUUCAGUUAAUCAUGCAUGCCUAGUCGAUGGCAGCUCAGUGCCCAAGUCUGAUAUUUUGAUCUUUUUGGAACCAUUUGUCUACGAAGCAAAAUAAUGUGCAUUUGGUUCGACUCACCACAAGAAGCAGCAGCAGAGGUGGGGACUAGUAAGCAACAGAGGCGGGACGGGGGAAGCAGCAGCAAAGGCCGGCGUUGGGAAUCAGCACGAGUAGAGGUCGGCGCGGGGAACUAGCAGAAGCAGAGGCAUCACCCACCACCACCAGCGGCAACAGCCGGCGGCAGAAGAAGAAGUCCAGGUCGCCGUGGGCUAGCUGCGCGCGGCCGAAGCGGCGGCGCAGGUGGGAAGCCGAAACAGGUGGGAGGAGCAGGUGGGAGACCGUGGCGGCGGCGCUGGUGAGCAUAGCAAGCGUGUGGCCGUGGUGGCUGCGCAGGUGCGCAGCAACAGCAGGCCGCCUCCAUGGCGGCGACGCGAGUAGGGGCGGCGCAGGUCGCUUCCUAGGCGGGGGCGAAGGUGAGAGGCGGCGGCGCUGAUGCGCGGUGGAUGCACAGGUGGGCAACGGCGCUGGUCCCCGACCCGACGGCGACGCGCGGGCGCUGGCGACUGGACAGAGGAAGGAGACGUGGACCUAUUUGUAACGGAUUUAAUGAUAGAAGGUUUGUUUUGCAAAGUCGUCAUAACACUACGCCCGGACGGAGGGAGUACGUAGUAUGGAUUUAAAUAAUUUCUAUCUUGGCUGAGAGCCUGAGAGAACAUAUUACAGUUCAUCCUAUAUAUGACCUGCUGCUCUUUCGUCUUCGUAGCUUGCCAUUCUCCGAGUUUGGACUGAAAGUGAAUCUUAAUCCGUAUUAGGAAUGUACUCUCUCCGUUCCCUCUGUUCUAGAUACUUCCUCUGUAUUGAAAUAUAUAUCGUUGGAGUAUGUAAACUACAGUUGCUAGUUGCUUCAGCAACAUAUAUUUUGAAAUAGAGGGAGGAUAAAUCCUAUUAGAGAUUAUCAGAUGUAUUUAAUCCUAAA